rnacentral:rRNA from 1 species
CCUACGGGGUGCUGCAGUGAGGAAUAUUGGUCAAUGGGCGCGAGCCUGAACCAGCCAAGUAGCGUGAAGGAUGACUGCCCUACGGGUUGUAAACUUCUUUUAUAAAGGAAUAAAGUGAGGCACGUGUGCCUUUUUGUAUGUACUUUAUGAAUAAGGAUCGGCUAACUCCGUGCCAGCAGCCGCGGUAAUACGGAGGAUCCAAGCGUUAUCCGGAUUUAUUGGGUUUAAAGGGUGCGUAGGCGGAUUGAUAAGUUAGAGGUGAAAUGUCCGAGCUUAACUCGGGAACUGCCUCUAAUACUGUUGAUCUAGAGAGUAGAUGCGGUAGGCGGAAUGCGUGGUGUAGCGGUGAAAUGCAUAGAUAUCACGCAGAACCCCGAUUGCGAAGGCAGCAUGCCGGCUUCCGACUGACGCUGAAGCACGAAAGCGUGGGGAUCGAACAGGAUUAGAUACCCCUGUAGUC